GGGACACGUGGUAUCCUGUCUGAAUAUGGGGGGACCAUCCUCCAAGGCUAAAUACUCCUGACUGACCGAUAGUGAACCAGUACCGUGAGGGAAAGGCGAAAAGAACCCCGGCGAGGGGAGUGAAAAAGAACCUGAAACCGUGUACGUACAAGCAGUGGGAGCACGCUUAGGCGUGUGACUGCGUACCUUUUGUAUAAUGGGUCAGCGACUUAUAUUCUGUAGCAAGGUUAACCGAAUAGGGGAGCCGAAGGGAAACCGAGUCUUAACUGGGCGUUAAGUUGCAGGGUAUAGACCCGAAACCCGGUGAUCUAGCCAUGGGCAGGUUGAAGGUUGGGUAACACUAACUGGAGGACCGAACCGACUAAUGUUGAAAAAUUAGCGGAUGACUUGUGGCUGGGGGUGAAAGGCCAAUCAAACCGGGAGAUAGCUGGUUCUCCCCGAAAGCUAUUUAGGUAGCGCCUCGUGAAUUCAUCUCCGGGGGUAGAGCACUGUUUCGGCAAGGGGGUCAUCCCGACUUACCAACCCGAUGCAAACUGCGAAUACCGGAGAAUGUUAUCACGGGAGACACACGGCGGGUGCUAACGUCCGUCGUGAAGAGGGAAACAACCCAGACCGCCAGCUAAGGUCCCAAAGUCAUGGUUAAGUGGGAAACGAUGUGGGAAGGCCCAGACAGCCAGGAUGUUGGCUUAGAAGCAGCCAUCAUUUAAAGAAAGCGUAAUAGCUCACUGGUCGAGUCGGCCUGCGCGGAAGAUGUAACGGGGCUAAACCAUGCACCGAAGCUGCGGCAGCGACGCUGAUGCGUUGUUGGGU
rnacentral:rRNA from 1 species